ensembl:lincRNA
GCCAAAUUCUACUCUUCCUCUUAAAAUUGGAUAACUAGCUUUAUUAACAUAUUAUUUCAUUUUUAAAAAGUCACUAAUAUACUAAGGUGACUAGUGGGGUAGAAUUUAGAAAUGCAACCUUUUCUUUUUCAGUAGUUGAGCUAGCAAGUCACAUUAGUACAAAACUUGUUUUCUAAUAGAAAAACACCCUGCCUUAUUCUGUAAUUGCUUGAGCAGCCGGUCUCAGUAUGUACAGGACAUUCCUGCCUGAGCAAAGUCUCCUCUUCUUACUCACCAAAUUUGUGUGAAUAUUACGAAGAAAUUUAGAUCCGUGAGGGUAGAGAGACUUAAGACUCCAACUCUUUCUCCUUAGUCUUUCUCACUAGAGAAUUUUGGAGGAGACCACAGUGACAGUGGUCCUGCCAAGGACCCGUGACCAGAAAAGAGGAACUGGUAACAGACGGGGAUUCAGCAAAAGAAAGGAAACUGAGCUCCAGCAAGAUUCCUGCAAGUGUCGAUGUCUUCUUGACAGAAAAUUGCAACAAGAGAAAGGUCUGUUCCUUUUCGGAUUGACUGUUCUCAACACCAGAAGCCUGAGAGGAAAGUUGGAGCAUAUGUUAGAGACCCUGGCUGCUAGAAGCUGUGCCAGGAGAGGCAGCAUGCAACAAGGAAAGGAUUGUUUUUGGGGAGAAGGCCUGAGAGAGAGUGCAGAUGGGUCUGAUUUAAACAACAGCCUUAUUAAAGGCACACAUUAUAUUUGUUGAUUAUCAGCAAAUGUGGUGCCCAUGUGGCUGUCCUGAUAUUGAGCAGCUGGACAGAUUACACCCUAGAGCCACAUCUGCGGACAAAUAGAUCAACACCAUUUUCACUGCCUUGUGUCCAAGAAGUUUAUCUUAUGUCGGUGAGAUUUACUGCUUUCUUCAUGAAUGGUUAAGGCCUUUUCUCCUCCCAUGUUUUGUUUUCUCUUUCACCUUAUUUGAUUUAAGACAAUAUUAGCAUAAUCUGAUCUGGGUUGUUAACAGCUGAUUGGUUAGUUUUGAUCUCCCGCCUUUAUUAAUGAGGAUUUCCAGUAGGACUCUGUAGUGAUAUCUUGGUAAAGAAUAUAACAUAAAUAUCUUACAUAGAGAAAAUACUUUAUUGGUAUCUAUACCUAAUAGUUUGGUAUUUACUACCAUGUCUAAGUACAUGGUAAAGACAUUGCUUGGAAUAUUGUAUCCCAGGACUAAAUUUUACUUUCUGCUCUUGCUUCAACUCUUAGGGCACAGUCCUUCAAAUUUAUGUUAGUAGUUUACAAUACACUUAAAUUGAUACUAUCUCUGUUGGUUCUAAACAGAACCCUAUUAGGUAGCAAGGAGAGAGGUAAUGAUUUUUCAGUUUUACAAACUGGAAAAUCAAAGUUCAGGUAUGAUGAGAGAAUCCUAGUCAGCUAUGAAGUGAUGUAGCCACCCACCUGGCCGGCUUCAACACUGGUCUCUGGUCCAUUCUGCCCCAGACAUCACCAGUGGGAAGCCAGCCCACUCCUCCAAGCCUUCCCCACCCAGACACCACAUAUGGGGGACCUAGACCUGCAACUUUAUUCUCCCUGAUGGGGUAGGGAGGACACAUGAGGAUGAAUGACAAAGAGCCUG